GAAACCCCCAGAGUGGUCACCUGAGAACACAAGAGGAUUUGGUCUAUAUAUAUAUAUAUAUAUAUAUAUAUAUUUGGGCGACUAAAUGCACUUGUGUUCUCAGGUCACCCCUUUGGAGCCUUC
rfam:Ipomoea nil DNA, scaffold: scaffold2921, cultivar: Tokyo-kokei standard.